GGGGAUGUAGCUCAGUGGUAGAACACUUGCCUAACAUUACAAGGCCCUGGGUUUGACCCCCAGCAUUAUCA
rnacentral:tRNA from 1 species